UCCCACCCGGACCAGGGCAGGGGGGUCAGGAAACCCCCACAAACAUAGUGACCACUUGGAGGCGGGGGAAGUGCCAGGUUGGUGCGGAGGAGGGCGCGUCCCCUGUGACCUCCGCCUGGCCUCACAGUUGGCUUCUCCGUGGAGCAAUCCUGUCGGGGCUAGUGAUCGUGCAAACUGAUAACACGGUGGAUUCUUUUGAAUGGCAUGUUGUGAUGGGGGAAAGCAUUGUAAAUAUUUGACUUUUAGUUAAAUGAAUACAGAUUUAAUUUAAAAACAACUCCCAGGGGGAUCCCUGGGUCGCUCAGCGUGAUCCUGGGCUCCCGGCCUGGAGCCUGCUCCUCCCUCUGCCUGUGUCUCUGCCUCUGUCUCUCUCUAUGUCUCUCAUGAAUAAAUACAUAAAAUCUUAAACAAAAACAAAAACAAAAACCUCCCAAGACCAAGCACAACCGCUGGGCUGAUCUCUAAUCCCUCGAUGGGACUCUUUUACGUGAUAAAGACAUACUUCUUUCAAGAAUUCAGAUCAGGGAUCCCUGGGUGGCGCAGCGGUUUAGCGCCUGCCUUUGGCCCAGGGCGCGAUCCUGGAGACCCGGGAUCGAAUCCCACGUCGGGCUCCCGGUGCAUGGAGCCUGCUUCUCCCUCUGCCUGUGUCUCUGCCUCUCUCUGUGUGUGUGUGUGACUAUAUCAUAAAUAAAUACCGCCGCGCCUCUGCCCGGAGCCUCGGGCCUCCCGGGUGCCCCCUCCUCCUCCCGCCCCUGGGGGACCUGCUCNCCCUCCCCCCCCCGUGCCGGCCCCAGCCUCUCCUCCGUGCCCAGGCCUCCUCCCCGGCCCGCGGGCCGCAGACCCGGGCUUGCGGCCGGGGGGGGCGCUGCCCCGCUCUCCCCGCUCUCCUCCACAGGUCCACACCCCUACCUCGUGCGGCCGCGCAGGCCUGGGCUGCAUCGCAGGGGGUGGGCUCUCCGCAGGCCCCUCGCUCCAGCGCCGCCCAAAGCCGACUUCGAGUAAUUUCCAAGAGAAGCGAAGAGAAACUACCUUCGUCCUUAGGGGGUGACGCCAACUGCUGCCUUCCAGAGCCCGCUCCCGAGCAAAUCCAGACAGACCAACAGACGGAGCUUGAAGGCGCCAGGUGUGCGCAAGGCGGGGGGGGCGGGGGGGACCCCCCGCCCCAGGAUCAGAACUCAGAGCCUCAGCCCCCAGGGCCUUUCCACCCUCUGGGCAGCGGACACCUGCUCUGUCAUCCUUUCCCUCAUGCCCACGCCUCCUCAGACCUGCUGCAGAAUCAAGAGUAAGCCCAGAACUCUGCGGCCCGGUGAGGCAGCCUGCUCAUCUGUGCUGCCCAAGUCGAAUUACAGGAUAAAAGUUAAAAUUCAGUUCCCCAGGCGCAGGAGCCAUAUUCCAAGUGCUUGGGGACAACAUGUGCCUGGCUGACGGCAAAGACACAGAACACUCCUACCAGCAAGAGCCACCUCUCCAGCUGUGGCAAGAUAAAUUUCAAUUUAAGAAAAGGGAACCUAGAAAUUUAGAGACUUAAGAAGCAUCAGCCAACUGCAACCCCUGUACCGCUUUUGGAUCCCAAACCCCUUGAAAACCUCAUGGGAGGUUAGCAUGUGUGGAGAGUUUGCAUUAAUUAGCUUCACUGUGGUAAUCGUUUCACUAUGUCUGGGUAACAAAACUGUCACAUUGUACAGCCUAAAUAUAUAUACGAUUUUUCCUUAAAACAUAUAUAAAAAUGUUUAAAAUUUGUGGGAUGCUCAGAAAUGUCAACAGUGGUAUUUGUCAAGACAGGCACUUGCAGAGUCCAGAUUUCAGCAGUGACAGUGUUUUUCUAGAGCUUACUUUUAGAGGUACGCACUGGAAGAGUCACAGGUGAGAUGUUAUGAUGUCUGGGGUUCACCUCGAAGCAGGUCUGGUGAGGGACACAGGGUGGGGGGGUGGA
ensembl:lncRNA